rnacentral:rRNA from 1 species
GACGAACGCUGGCGGCGUGCCUAAUACAUGCAAGUUGAGCGCUGAGACGUGGAACUUGUCCCAACUGGGUGAGCGGCGAACGGGUGAGUAACGCGUGGAGAAUCUGCCUUUGAGCGGGGGACAACAUCGGGAAACGAGUGCUAAUACCGCAUAAAAACUUGAAACACAAGGUUUAAGUUUGAAAGAUGCAUUUGCAGCAAUCAAAGAUUAGCUCGGGUUGUCUUAACUAGUUGGUGAGGGAAAGGCCCACCAAGGGGAUGAUACAUAGCCGACCUGGAAGGGGGGUCGGCCACAUCGGGACUGAGACACGGCCCAAACUCCUAAGGGGAGGAGAAGUAGGGAAUCCUUGGCCAUGGAAGAAAGUCCUACCGAGGAACCACGCGUGAGUGAAGAAGGUUCUCGGAUUGUAAAACUCCGUUGGUUGGGAAGGACGUUGGUGAUAGUGGACAGUUCACGACUUGACGGUACCUAACCAGAAAGGCACGGCUAACUACGUG